UCGUUGUCAACUAAACCACAGCAGUAAGUCCAGCCUCCAGCCAUUCCUUGAACACUUCCAGGAACUGUGACUCCAUCACCUCUUUGGAGAACCCAUGCCAAUGCCUGGCCACUCCCUCAGUGAAGAAAUUCUUCCUGAUGUCCCAUCUGAACCUGCCCUGGCACAGCUUGAGUCCAUCCCUCUCAUAUGGUCACUGGUUGCCUGGAGAAGAGGCUGACUCCACCUGACUACAGCCCCUUCCAGGUUCCAUUCCUUUCCUACAGGAUACCCCCAGGAAGCAGCUAUGUCAUGGUCCUUGGUGGAGCUAUGCAGGGGGAAAUCUGGGGGUUCACAGGGAACCUGACUAUGCCCAAAUGGCUCAUCACACCAACAACUGUAGGUGGACAGGGAUGAACAGGAGAUUUACCCUGGGAGGGAACCAAACCCCACUCCAAGCAACAGGGCUCUCCCAAGAAGAAGCUAAUACUGGACAGGAGACAAGGAUUUGCAAGGAAACCUAAUGCAAGAAGUCAUUAAAAAUCAUCAAACAUAGUUUUCUUGCCAGCAAAUUAGAUAGAACAGCAGAAUACUUGUUCCUCACAGUCCCAGCUUGUGAGGUAUUUCAUAUUGAGGAGGGUCUCAACUGGCUCAGCCAUGUCCAAAUUCAGGCUUCACCAGGCCUCCUGGAGAUAUUUAUUGCAGAGCAUCUUUGUACUUGCUGCAUUCUUCACAGCACUAGGAGAUGCUGGAGAUCUUCUCACUUGGAAAGCAAUUCUUCUAAAUUGGAAAGAAGGCACAACACCUUCUCAUCAUGC